GAUGAAGAACGCAGCGAAAUGCGAUAAGUAAUGUGAAUUGCAGAAUUCGGUGAAUCAUCGAAUCUUUGAACGCACAUUGCGCCCGCCAGUAUUCUGGCGGGCAUGCCUGUCUGAGCGUCAUUUCAACCCUCAUGCCCCUAGGGCGUGGUGUUGGGGAUCGGCCAAAGCCCGCGAGGGACGGCCGGCCCCUAAAUCUAGUGGCGGACCCGUCGUGGCCUCCUCUGCGAAGUAGUGAUAUUCCGCAUCGGAGAGCGAUGAGCCCCUGCCGUUAAACCCCCAACUUUCCAAGGUUGACCUCAGAUCAGGUAGGAAUACCCGCUGAACUUAAGCAUAUCAAUAAGCGGAGGA
rnacentral:misc_RNA from 1 species